rnacentral:lncRNA from 1 species
ACUAUAUCAAAUAUAGAACUAGAGCAAACUAAGAACAUAAUAAUUAGAGACAUAAUGCAAUUAGAACAAAGAAUUAGAGAAAGAUAUGAAUAAUACCAAUCUUUAUUACCGAAGAUCCGAAUCCAGAGCGUAGUGCUCUACUUCUCUAAUUGCUAUCUAAUCAAACCUCUAAACUUGAAGGAUUAGGGAGUAGCUAAUUCUAAUUCUCUGUGGGAGAGAAGCUCUAAACCCUAACUUUGAUGGCUACCUCUGAAUAAUGAUUUCUUCUCUUCUCCUCUCGCCCCCAGGGGUGGAGAGGCCUUGGUUAUAUAGUCCUUUAAAAUGAAUUUGGGCCGUUGGAUCAAACUGACAUUGAUUGUAUGGUUUAGAUUCAUCCUU